AGCUCCAAUAGCGUAUAUUAAAGUUGUUGUGGUUAAAAAGCUCGUAGUUGGAUUUCGGCGGGUAGUGGUUGGUUUGAAUUGAUUCAACACUGACUUUUUUUCCCGGUGUUUUUCCCGGAUUCUUACGGGGGUUUUUUACCGAUUGUCCGUUGGAACUGGCAGGUUUACUUUGAAAAAAUUAGAGUGCUCAAAGCAAGCUUACUGCUUGAAUAGUUGCGCAUGGAAUAAUAGAAUAGGAAGUCGUUUCUAUUUUGUUGGUUUUCGGAAAUCGACUUAAUGAUUAAUAGGGAUAGUCGGGGGCAUUCGUAUUCAAACGACAGAGGUGAAAUUCUUGGACCGUUUGAAGACGAACUAAGGCGAAAGCAUUUGCCAAGAAGGUUUUCA
rnacentral:rRNA from 1 species